AACCAUAGAAACCUGCGGAGUACCUGCGGAGGGAUCAUUACAGAGUUGCAAGACUCCCUAAACCAUUGUGAACGUUACCUAAACCGUUGCUUCGGCGGGCGGCCCGGGUCCUUCCCGGCGCCCAUCGGCCCUCGCGGGCGCCCGCCGGAGGUAAACCAAACUAUUGCAUUGUAUGGCCUCUCUGAGUCUUCUGUACUGAAUAAGUCAAAACUUUCAGCAACGGAUCUCAGAUCGGAAGAG
rnacentral:misc_RNA from 1 species